rnacentral:rRNA from 1 species
GAAUGCUUUACACAUGCAAGUCGAACGGCAGGCAUAGAGAGCUUGCUCUCUGAUGGCGAGUGGCGAACGGGUGAGUAAUAUAUCGGAACGUGCCUAGUAAUGGGGAAUAACUAGCUGAAAGGUUAGCUAAUGCCGCAUACGACCUACGGGUGAAAGCAGGGGAUCUUCGGACCUUGCGUUAUUAGAGCGGCCGAUAUCUGAUUAGCUUGUUGGUGGGGUAAUGGCCUACCAAGGCGACGAUCAGUAGCUGGUCUGAGAGGACGAUCAGCCACACUGGAACUGAGACACGGUCCAGACUCCUACGGGAGGCAGCAGUGGGGAAUUUUGGACAAUGGGGGCAACCCUGAUCCAGCCAUUCCGCGUGAGUGAAGAAGGCCUUCGGGUUGUAAAGCUCUUUCGCAAGAGAAGAAAACUUGCUAUCUAAUAAAUAGUAAGUAUGACGGUAUCUUGACAAGAAGCACCGGCUAACUACGUGCCAGCAGCCGCGGUAAUACGUAGGGUGCAAGCGUUAAUCGGAAUUACUGGGCGUAAAGCGUGCGCAGGCAGUUUUAUAAGUCAGAUGUGAAAUCCCCGAGCUCAACUUGGGAACUGCGUUUGAAACUGUAAGACUAGAGUGUGUCAGAGGGGGGUAGAAUUCCAAGUGUAGCAGUGAAAUGCGUAGAGAUUUGGAGGAAUACCAAUGGCGAAGGCAGCCCCCUGGGAUAACACUGA